rnacentral:rRNA from 1 species
UACAGAGGUCUCAAGCGUUGUUCGGAUUCAUUGGGCGUAAAGGGUGCGUAGGCGGCGCGGUAAGUCGGGUGUGAAAUCUCGGGGCUUAACUCCGAAACUGCAUUCGAUACUGCCGUGCUUGAGGACUGGAGAGGAGACUGGAAUUUACGGUGUAGCGGUGAAAUGCGUAGAUAUCGGGAGGAACACCAGUAGCGAAGGCGGCUCGCUGGGCCAUUCCUGACGCUGAGACGCGAAAGCUAGGGGAGCGAACAGG